rnacentral:rRNA from 1 species
UACAGAGGUCUCAAGCGUUGUUCGGAUUCAUUGGGCGUAAAGGGUGCGUAGGUGGCGCGGUAAGUCGGGUGUGAAAUUUCGGAGCUUAACUCCGAAACUGCAUUCGAUACUGCCGUGCUUGAGGACUGGAGAGGAGACUGGAAUUACGGUGUAGCAGUGAAAUGCGUAGAUAUCGUAAGGAAGACCAGUGGCGAAGGCGGGUCUCGUGGACAGUUC